rnacentral:rRNA from 1 species
UCGGGUGGGUUGCCGACAUCGCCGCUGACCCCUGACGCCUGUUGUACGUGAGCCGAUCCCCGCCCGGGCGACGCGACGCGUCAGGGCGCACUGAGGACAGUCCGCCCAGGUUGACAGUCGCGACGGGAGCAGGGGGCCCCGUCCCUCGCCAAACGACGAGAGAAGACGCAGCGAGCACUUAGUCCACGGCCCCGGGAAGCCGGCCGAGGUCCGGGCGGGGAGCGCUGUAAAGCUCACGGCCGAGACCGCGAGCCACCUUCGCCCCGAGCCUUUCCAAGCCGACCUAGAGCCGGUCGCGGCGCAGGUCGGAGAAAAUGCGCCCGGCGACGGGCCAGCACAGCAAGGGGAGGGGUCCCACGAGGGGAUCCCCACACACCGAGCGGCCGUCCCNUACCCGCCGAGUUGAAUCCCCCGGGCAGACUGCGCGGACCCCACCC